rnacentral:pre_miRNA from 1 species
GUAGUACUCCCUCCGUCCGGAAAUACUUGUCAUUAAAAUGAAUAAAAGGGGAUGUAUCUGGAUGUAUUUUAGUUCUAGAUACAUCUCUUUUUAUCCAUUUUGAUGACAAGUAUUUUCGGACGGAGGGAGUAGUAA